rnacentral:misc_RNA from 1 species
GAUGAAGAACGUAGCGAAAUGCGAUAAGUAAUGUGAAUUGCAGAUUUCAGUGAAUCAUCGAAUCUUUGAACGCACAUUGCGCCCCCUGGUAUUCCGGGGGGCAUGCCUGUUCGAGCGUCAUUACAACCCUCAAGCUCUGCUUGGUAUUGGGCCCCGCCAGUUCUGGCGGGCCCUAAAGUCAGUGGCGGUGCCUUCCGGCUCCGAGCGUAGUAAUUCUUCUCGCUCUGGAGACCCGGUUGUGUGCUUGCCAACAACCCCCAAUUUUUUAAGGUUGACCUCGGAUCAGGUAGGGAUACCCGCUGAACUUAAGCAUAUCAAUAAGCGGAGGA